AUGGGAAGAAAAGUUGAUGGCACUUCUCUCCCUCAUUAUUUGCAGCACUUCCUUGAGUACAGCUGGUGGUCUUGUUACAGGCAGAAGGGCCCACUCAACAUAUCCAGUAUUAGGUAUUUCCUACUUAUAAGGUUGCAUCUGGGAAAGACUGAAAAUGAAUGCAUCGAGAGCUCUGAGUGCCACAGGAUGAAGCUCAUCAAUGAGAUAACCACUAUGGGCUCGAAUACAAUACUAGAAGAGGAGAAGAGUAGGACACAGCUAGCAUAGAUGGAAGAAUGACCAUGUGAGGACAUAGCAAGAAGCCAGCGACUGUCUGCAAGCCAUGGAAAAAAACCUCAGAAAGAAAGCCUGUUGACACCUUAAUCUUGAAUUUCUAACCUCCAGAAAUGUGAGAAAAUAAAUUUCUGUUAUUUAAUCCAUCCAUCCUGCAGUGUUUGGCAGACCUAGCAAACUACUACAAUUACCAUUGAUUAAUUUUGUCUGUUCUUUAAAAUUACAUAAAUAAAAUCAUACUCACUUGUGUUUGGCUUCUUUCACUCAAUAUGUGUUAAGAUUCAUCAUGUUGUUAUGCAUAUCAGUAAACUGGCUGUUUUCCCUGUAGAUCUUGAAGAACCAAGAUCUAGAGAGAAGUAAAAAGAAUUAAUGGUCCAUGGAGCAACAAUACCAGAAAAGGUAGGGAGAUACAAGGAUAUAUGGCACAUUUAGGGAAUUGUGGGUGUCUUAAUGGGCAGGAGUCAGGACACCCGUGGGAAAUGCUGCAUGUGUGUAGGAAAUUGAGGCCGGAGAGGGAGACAGGGGCCAGUAUCUCUGAGUGAGCGGAAACUCAAAAGAUUUGAAUGAAUUGGAACAAGGUAAGAGAUAAGAGUCCUGAACCUCCUUGUUGGAUUUUCUGGGGACAUCUGCCCUGUCUCUUGAAGUCCCCAUUACCUAGCGUGAACUGGCCAUUUUUAUAGUUGAGUAGUAUUCUACUGAUGAAUAAAUCACAAUUUUUCUGUCCAUAAUCUUGUGAUAGAUAUUUGAAUUUGUUUUCUAGUUUUGG
rnacentral:lncRNA from 1 species